rnacentral:tRNA from 1 species
GUGGGUGGCUCAGUGGUAGAGUGCUUGUCUUGCAUGCAUGAGGCCCUGGGUUCGAUUCCUUAGCACCACA